GUUCUGACCUGCUGUGAGAAGGUUCUGACCUGCUGUGAGAAGGUUGUGACCCACAGUGAGAAGGUUCUGACCUGCUGUGAGAAGGUUCUGACCUGCUGUGAGAAGGUUCUGACCUACUGUGAGAAGGUU